UUUGUUUGAGUAAUUUCAACACAUUUUGAUACCUACAUAACAGGUGAGAUAACACAUUUUCAAAAAUUACAAAAAUCAUGACCCAAUUUCAGACCCCAAAUUUUUCAAAAAUGUUCAAAAUGAUUUCCUUAAAAAGUAUUUUAUGAAACUGGGAAAAAGUACCAUAAAAGAAAUCAGAAAUUUAAAAAUAAGAAAAACUUUAGGCACUGCUGCUGAUAUUCGAGAGAAUUAAAAAACUUCAUCUGGAAAACCGACAGAGAAAAGCCAUGAAAAAUAAUUUCCCAUAAAAAUUGAACAUACAGGAACAGGCCAAGGAAUUAUGGGAACAAUUUAUGGAAUUUUUUCUGCUUCUUUACGUCAUGUUUUGGUCAAACAAUGACCAAAAUUUCUUCUACGAAAUCGAUAAUGCUCGUAUAAAAAGGUAUGUAUUUGCGUGUUUCAUCUAGUUUCACAUUUUCUAUUUUCUAUAUAUGUACUCGUUUACCUAUUUCCUGAUUCCAGCCUUAUCAGAGACAUAUUUUAUCAUCUUCAUUGUGGUAUUUCAACCCUUCUUUUCCAUCAUGAAAUUCCAUUACAUUGAAUUGGCAGUAUAAAAACUGCAGCAUCGAAUCGAAAAAGUGAAUUGUCAAUUGUGUUGUUUGGUGCUUUGCAAGUAUUUUUCAAGUCUAACUAGGCGUUUCUAGUAUUAGAAUGGCUGAUUGUGUCAAAGAUAAACCAUCCGAUGCUGAAAUUGCGGCACUCAAAGAAUCCGUUCAACAAUCUUGCAAGGGAUUGAAAGUCGGCGAGCAGCAAGAGGUGCCAGGUCAUCCCGAAUAUUCGGUCACUAAACGUGAGGAUGGAGAAAUGGAAAUUUCCAAAAAAGGAGGCAGAUUUCGUAUUUCUUUUGGAUGGUGAUCAUUGAUCAAUAACCAAUCGCCACGUUCAAUGACGCAAUACGAGAUAUCUCUGAUUAAUACAUAGGUAGUUUAAUAUUAGAUUGUCAAACCUAUCUGAUUUUUAAAUCAUUCAAUCAGUAGAUACAUACUUCUAAAAUUAUUUUCUCUCUUUUUUUUUUGACAAUCCUAUGUUUAUUUUAUUACAUACGUGAACUUAUUUGUGAAAUGUAUUUCAUUCCAAAUGUAAAUAUAAAACUACCUACCUAAUAAUAAAACGUUAAUCAGCAUGAUA